GACGAACGCUGGCGGCGUGCCUAAUACAUGCAAGUAGAACGCACAGUUUAUACCGUAGCUUGCUACACCAUAAACUGUGAGUUGCGAACGGGUGAGUAACGCGUAGGUAACCUGCCUGGUAGCGGGGGAUAACUAUUGGAAACGAUAGCUAAUACCGCAUAAUAUUGAUUAUUGCAUGAUAAUUGAUUGAAAGAUGCUAUUGCAUCACUACCAGAUGGACCUGCGUUGUAUUAGCUAGUAGGUGAGGUAACGGCCCACCUAGGCGACGAUACAUAGCCGACCUGAGAGGGUGAUCCGCCACACUGGGACUGAGACACGGCCCAGACUCCUACGGGAGGCAGCAGGAGGGGAACUUCGGCAAUGGACGGAAGGCUUACCGAGCAACGCCGCGGGAGUGAAGGAGGUUUUCGGAUCGUAAAGCUCUGUUGUAAGAGAAGAACGGGUGUGAGAGUGGAAAGUUCACACUGUGACGGUAUCUUACCAGAAAGGGACGGCUAACUACGUG
rnacentral:rRNA from 1 species